UUCUUGUGUGUAUCUGUAUGUAUGUAAGUGUGCAUACGGAUCGAUACUUUAUCUGCUUCGAACACACAAACACUCGCUCUCUUGCCGGCCGACGGCAAGAAAAUGUAAACCAAAUUUCCUUCUACCAUAGGGAUACUACCACGCCUUUACUGCCUCGUGCUGUUUGGUUCGUACAGAGGACAACGCGCGAACUGCCGUUGAUUGAAAAGCCGCUGUAGGAGAUGAGUGCAGUCACACCGUUUCAUGUCAGGCAUUCGUCCAAUAUUCCUGGGUUCCAGUUAAUUUGUAUUCGUGCACAGCACUAUAAAUUGCAUUUAUUCAACGUUCUCUCUUGUGCAAAUGCAGUGAAUACAUUUGCAGAGUGGAGAUCAAUAGAACGCGCAAUUCUAUUAAAUACAGCAACUCGCCGCUCUGCGUUGAUGAGUGAAAUUUAAUAAUGAAAAACAAUCCCUGGAUAAUCAGUGAUAUAAUCUGAUUUACUUACAUUAAUUUUCAUGUGAGGAUAAAUGAAUACAUUAAAUCGAUUUAAAUCUACCAAGAUUUCUGUUUGUAAUUUUCUCUUUGAACUAUGUGUUGAAAUAUUGCAAUACAUUUCACCAAACGCCCAAUCAACAUUAAUGAGCAUUGCAAUGAAUAUUCAUCCACCCCAUACUGAAAGCAUGAUUUCACUGAAAAGCUCACUCACAUCGGAGCAAUUGGCCAAUUCGAAGCAGUUCAAAUAGAGCCCCUAUUUCACUUGCUUGACUGCGCUUUGAGCGGCCGUGAAUGGCUGUGUCCAGCGCGUCGUUCUUUUUAACUGCCGCUGGUAGAUAGCGGGAGAGCAUAAAUGGCCGUCGGCAUCGCACCACGGCCACCGUGAAAUUGAUAUUAAUCGCGAAUUUCCAGCUCCACAGGCCUCUCUCCCGCACACACGUGCGCAGGAUUAAUAAUAAUUACUAUUAUUAUUGGGCCACUCGCAUGCCAUUGAUCCGCACAGAUGAAAUCACUUGCACGUUCUGAAAUAAAGAAUAAUAAUAAUUCAACCCCGGCGUCAGUUUUUGAUGGCAUUAAUUACGCUCGCAUUGUUCGUUUUUGCAGCGGAUUAGGACGCACAACCGCCCCCGGGUGGUGGAUUAUGAGCUGGAUGCAGGCUGCUAAUUAAAACCUGUGCCGGAGAGACUUCAAAAUGGAAUUCUGGGGUCCAUAAAAGGUCAUUUGCCAACCUCAUUUAGAACGUUGAUUCCAAAGGGAAUUACUUUUAAUUGACUUGAUGAAGGUUUUAGUGAUAUUUUGGUGAUAUAGUUGGAUAUAAUUAUUUUUA